UGUACGGGAUCUUGUGCACAUGAAGCCAAACAUUCCAGUUGAUUUGGUGUUGUUUGUGCCGUACGUGUGAAUAACUGCAACAAGCCAGCCUGGGAAAUAAGAGGAGAUGGCGAUAGAACAUCAUAAAUAUCAAAGCACAAAAUGCAAGCAUUUUAGCCCUAAAGGUCUCCCACGGUAGAACCCAAGAUCAGGUCCUGCAUUAGGAGGAACGUGAGACCUAAUACAACUGAGUAUGCACGUAUCUCAGGGGCCCCUUAUACUGAUGCUUGCUAUCGAGUAGGUGGUGACGGAAAGUCCCUUGUCCCUACAACUUGAUGAGAUCUAGAACCACAGAGGAGAGAGGAAUCUUCUAGACUGACCCCAGCAGAGGCUGUGAGCAAGACCCAGCUGUGUUUACCCACCAUACAUUGCCGCUUCUUCACUGGAGGCCCAUGGCGGCCAGUCGGCACACUGCAGAGCUGUGUGCCUCCAGCUUGCAUACAUCCGCUCUCCUGAGACAGUCCCUUUCUGUUUCACACAGACAAACCAAGGGCCCUGGCCACUGGUCACACAGACGAAAUGGAG